rnacentral:rRNA from 1 species
CAACAGCGAUAAGGGAACCUCGAGUGCCAGGUUACAAAUCUGGCUGUCGAGAUGCCUAAAAAGCAUUUCAUAGCAAGGGCCGGGCAAGACCGGUGCCAGCCGCCGCGGUAACACCGGCGGCUCGAGUGGUAACCGUUAUUAUUGGGUCUAAAGGGUCUGUAGCCGGCCGGAUAAGUCUCUUGAGAAAUCUGGCAGCUUAACUGUCAGGCUUUCAGGAGAUACUGUCUGGCUCGAGGCCGGGAGAGGUGAGAGGUACUUCAGGGGUAGGGGUGAAAUCUUGUAAUCCUUGAAGGACCACCAGUGGCGAAGGCGUCUCACCAGAACGGACCUGACGGCAAGGGACGAAAGCUAGGGGCACGAACCGGAUUAGAUACCCGGGUAGUCCUAGCCGUAAACGAUACUCGCUAGGUGUCGGCCACGGUGCGACCGUUGUCGGUGCCGUAGGGAAGCCGUGAAGCGAGCCAC